GUUUAUACUAAGUCGUAAGUGUACAGUCGUGGGAGAUUCCCGGAUUUGGGGAAGUUCCAUUAACUUGGGGUUACCACAGUAUAUUGUGUACUGCAAGAGUCGUAGCAUAGCCUUGAAGCUUGUUUAUGCAUUAUUGUUAUUGUAAUUCGUCUGGGACAAAAUGGAGCAAACAUAUUAUGCACUGAGGUUAUUGCUUAAAGAAACAGUUAUGAAAAACAAUAUGUUCCAUUUCUAACACCUUGUCAGUUUGCAAUAUCUCUUAAAGACAAAGUACACAGUUUAAGAAAUACAACAUUUCAUUCUAA